rnacentral:rRNA from 1 species
UUAAGCGACUAAGCGUACACGGUGGAUGCCCUGGCAGUCAGAGGCGAUGAAGGACGUGCUAAUCUGCGAAAAGCGUCGGUAAGGUGAUAUGAACCGUUAUAGCCGGCGAUGUCCGAAUGGGGAAACCCAGUGCAAUUCGUUGCACUAUCGUUAACUGAAUACAUAGGUUAACGAGGCGAACCGGGGGAACUGAAACAUCUAAGUACCCCGAGGAAAAGAAAUCAACCGAGAUUCCCCCAGUAGCGGCGAGCGAACGGGGAGCAGCCCAGAGUCUGAAUCAGCUUGUGUGUUAGUGGAACGGUCUGGAAAGUCCGACGGUACAGGGUGAUAGUCCCGUACACCAAAAUGCACAGGCUGUGAACUCGAAGAGUAGGGCGGGACACGUGGUAUCCUGUCUGAAUAUGGGGGGACCAUCCUCCAAGGCUAAAUACUCCUGACUGACCGAUAGUGAACCAGUACCGUGAGGGAAAGGCGAAAAGAACCCCGGCGAGGGGAGUGAAAAAGAACCUGAAACCGUGUACGUACAAGCAGUGGGAGCACCUUCGGGUGUGACUGCGUACCUUUUGUAUAAUGGGUCAGCGACUUAUAUUCUGUAGCAAGGUUAACCGUAUAGGGGAGCCGCAGGGAAACCGAGUCUUAACUGGGCGUUAAGUUGCAGGGUAUAGACCCGAAACCCGGUGAUCUAGCCAUGGGCAGGUUGAAGGUUGGGUAACACUAACUGGAGGACCGAACCGACUAAUGUUGAAAAAUUAGCGGAUGACUUGUGGCUGGGGGUGAAAGGCCAAUCAAACCGGGAGAUAGCUGGUUCUCCCCGAAAGCUAUUUAGGUAGCGCCUCGUGAAUUCAUCUUCGGGGGUAGAGCACUGUUUCGGCUAGGGGGUCAUCCCGACUUACCAACCCGAUGCAAACUACGAAUACCGAAGAAUGUUAUCACGGGAGACACACGGCGGGUGCUAACGUCCGUCGUGAAGAGGGAAACAACCCAGACCGCCAGCUAAGGUCCCAAAGUCAUGGUUAAGUGGGAAACGAUGUGGGAAGGCACAGACAGCCAGGAUGUUGGCUUAGAAGCAGCCAUCAUUUAAAGAAAGCGUAAUAGCUCACUGGUCGAGUCGGCCUGCGCGGAAGAUGUAACGGGGCUAAACCAUGCACCGAAGCUGCGGCAGCGACACUAUGUGUUGUUGGGUAGGGGAGCGUUCUGUAAGCCUGCGAAGGUGUGCUGUGAGGCAUGCUGGAGGUAUCAGAAGUGCGAAUGCUGACAUAAGUAACGAUAAAGCGGGUGAAAAGCCCGCUCGCCGGAAGACCAAGGGUUCCUGUCCAACGUUAAUCGGGGCAGGGUGAGUCGACCCCUAAGGCGAGGCCGAAAGGCGUAGUCGAUGGGAAACAGGUUAAUAUUCCUGUACUUGGUGUUACUGCGAAGGGGGGACGGAGAAGGCUAUGUUAGCCGGGCGACGGUUGUCCCGGUUUAAGCAUGUAGGCUGAUUGUCCAGGCAAAUCCGGAUAAUCAAGGCUGAGGUGUGAUGACGAGGCACUACGGUGCUGAAGUAACAAAUGCCCUGCUUCCAGGAAAAGCCUCUAAGCAUCAGGUAACAUCAAAUCGUACCCCAAACCGACACAGGUGGUCAGGUAGAGAAUACCAAGGCGCUUGAGAGAACUCGGGUGAAGGAACUAGGCAAAAUGGUGCCGUAACUUCGGGAGAAGGCACGCUGGUGUGUAGGUGAAGUCCCUGCGGAUGGAGCUGAGACCAGUCGAAGAUACCAGCUGGCUGCAACUGUUUAUUAAAAACACAGCACUGUGCAAACACGAAAGUGGACGUAUACGGUGUGACGCCUGCCCGGUGCCGGAAGGUUAAUUGAUGGGGUUAUCCGUAAGGAGAAGCUCUUGAUCGAAGCCCCGGUAAACGGCGGCCGUAACUAUAACGGUCCUAAGGUAGCGAAAUUCCUUGUCGGGUAAGUUCCGACCUGCACGAAUGGCGUAAUGAUGGCCAGGCUGUCUCCACCCGAGACUCAGUGAAAUUGAACUCGCUGUGAAGAUGCAGUGUACCCGCGGCAAGACGGAAAGACCCCGUGAACCUUUACUAUAGCUUGACACUGAACAUUGAGCCUUGAUGUGUAGGAUAGGUGGGAGGCUUUGAAGCGUGGACGCCAGUCUGCGUGGAGCCAACCUUGAAAUACCACCCUUUAAUGUUUGAUGUUCUAACGUUGGCCCCUUACCGGGGUUGCGGACAGUGUCUGGUGGGUAGUUUGACUGGGGCGGUCUCCUCCCAAAGCGUAACGGAGGAGCACGAAGGUUAGCUAAUCCUGGUCGGACAUCAGGAGGUUAGUGCAAUGGCAUAAGCUAGCUUGACUGCGAGCGUGACGGCGCGAGCAGGUGCGAAAGCAGGUCAUAGUGAUCCGGUGGUUCUGAAUGGAAGGGCCAUCGCUCAACGGAUAAAAGGUACUCCGGGGAUAACAGGCUGAUACCGCCCAAGAGUUCAUAUCGACGGCGGUGUUUGGCACCUCGAUGUCGGCUCAUCACAUCCUGGGGCUGAAGUAGGUCCCAAGGGUAUGGCUGUUCGCCAUUUAAAGUGGUACGCGAGCUGGGUUUAGAACGUCGUGAGACAGUUCGGUCCCUAUCUGCCGUGGGCGCUGGAGAAUUGAGGGGGGCUGCUCCUAGUACGAGAGGACCGGAGUGGACGCAUCACUGGUGUUCGGGUUGUCAUGCCAAUGGCACUGCCCGGUAGCUAAAUGCGGAAGAGAUAAGUGCUGAAAGCAUCUAAGCACGAAACUUGCCCCGAGAUGAGUUCUCCCUGAGACUUUAAGUCUCCUGAAGGAACGUUAAAGACGAUGACGUUGAUAGGCCGGGUGUGUAAGCGCAGCGAUGCGUUGAGCUAACCGGUACUAAUGAACCGUGAGGCUUAACCUU